UAGUUCCUCUUGUGAACCCGGGCCGGUGACCUUGCCGUUUCUCCCUUGGCCGGUCGGGAGUGGAACUCAGGAGAACCUGCCCUGGGCAACACGAGGAUGAGAGCAGCGGUUCUCUAAAGUGUGCUGUGGGGGACCCUGCAGAUCUCAGGGUCCUUUCAGGGAGUCUGUGUCAAAACGAGUUUCAUAAUAAUAGUGAGGCGUCACUGCCCCUUUUCAUUCUUGUGGGAAUUUUCCAGAGGCGACCUGAUGUGUGUGUGUGAUGAAGUCACUGCUCUGAUGACUAACGUAAUGCGUGCUUGUAUAUUCUUGUGUUUUCUACAGUUUCCUAAGAGCAGUGUGGUGGCUGCUUAGCUACUACAACUUUGGAAUUGAAUGCCCCAUCUGUGCGACCAUGUCAUCUACUUAACCUUGCAAGUCACAGGUGCUGCCUAUAUACAAGCGGAGAGGAUCACACAAAAGCGUAAACAACUGUAGACAGGAUCAUGGAGGCCACCUUGAGGUCUGUCUGCACUUAAAGAUUAUUCUGAAUCCGCUGAAAAUUCUCUUCAACAUAUCAAGAAUCCCAGUGAACCACAAGCAGCAUAAACAGAAACCUCAUCAAGGCACUAUAGAAUUAAAUUUAUGAAAACCAGUGAUAAAGAGAAAAUCUUGAAGAUGAGAUUAAUCAUUGGUAUGUCAUCAAAAAUAAUGCACACCAGAAGAUGGUGGAAUGUCUUAAAAGUAUUACAAGAAAAACACUGUCAACCUAGAAUUUUGUAUCCAAUGAAAAUGCUCUUCAAAGAUGAAGGCAAAAUAAGGACAUUUCAGUUGAGCCAAAGCCAAGAGAAUUCAUUGCUAGUGAACUUCUACUACAAGGAAUGCUAAAUGAAGUGUUUUAGGCAUGAAGGAAAAGGAUACUAGAUGGACCCAUGAAUUACACAAAAGAAUGGUAAAUAUGUGAGUAAUAUAACAGACAUUUUUCUUAUUUGUAAUAUCUUUAAAAGAGAGAGAACUACUUAAAGUACAAAUAAAAACAGUAUAUUAUGGGAUUUAUAACAUUUAUAGAGGUAGAAUUUAUGAGCACAAUAGCAGAAAGAAUAGAGGAGAUAGGAUGCAAGUAUAUCAUUAAGAGAUUCUUACAUUGUGUGUUAAAUGCUGUAACAUUCAAAGGUAGAUGGUGAUAAGUUAAAGAUGCAUAUUGUAAAGCUUAGAGCAAUUGCUGAAAAAAAUUAAAAGGUGUGGGUAAUUUGUCAAUAGAGGAGAUAAGAGGGACUCAAAACAUAAUCCAAAGGAAGACGAGAAAAGAGGGGAAAAGGAACAAAGAAUAAAUAGGACAAAUGGAAAUAUAGGACUACUGUUGUUCCUCUGUUAGGUAAGAAACCACCAAAGGAAAAGCCUAAAACAUCUUACAUUUACCUCUUGAAACUGGAAUAAGAUAAAGAAUAAGUAAAUGAACAUAGUAUCCAAACUCCCACAAAUGGAAUUCUAAUAGCUUUUGUUGAUGAUAGCAUCAAUUGUAUUCUGAUUCUUUCAACAAUGAAAUCAAUUAUUUAUCUCAAUAAAAGAGAUUAUUUUGAUUCAGAAAUGCCUGCAACCUCGCACAAGUUGGAAAGAUUUGGAAGAAGUAACAGA